rnacentral:pre_miRNA from 1 species
AGAAAAGCAAAAAAAUGAUGAUGAUGAUGAUGAUGAUGAUGAUCAUCAUCAUCAUCGUUGUCGUCAUCAUCAUCAUUAUUAUUA